rnacentral:rRNA from 1 species
AGCUACAGGCGCGACGGGUAGCCGGCCUGAGAGGUGACCGGCCACACUGGGACUGAGACACGGCCCAGACUCCUACGGGAGGCAGCAGUGGGGAAUCUUGCGCAAUGGGCGAAAGCCUGACGCAGCGACGCCGCGUGAGGGAUGAAGGCCUUCGGGUUGUAAACCUCUUUCAGGAGGGAAGAAGCGCAAGGGACCGUACAUCCAGAAGAAGCGCCGGCUACCUACGAGCAGCACCCGCGGACUACGUGCCAGCAGCCGCGG